ACCAACACGAAAUUCGUGGGGAAAUUAGUUUCUAGAAUCACGAAUCUCCAUUGCUUCGAUGAUUCGUUUAAUUUUUUUUUCUUUUUUUUUCAGUUAUUCGACUUAUGUGGAACACGUAAAUUGGAAAGAUCCUCAUGGGGGCCACGAAGCCAAUUUCAUCCUCGCGCCCUCGUGGUUCGUGGAUCUACAUAUUAGCGAGUUUAUCGCAUUCCAGGAAUUAAAUAUCUCCCUCUAGAUACAAUACUGUAGGCUACUUUACUAGCGUGUUGCUCGCCUAACACGCGAACCGUGCUGUUGCAGCAUCCUCGGAGUUACCGCUAACUCGAUUCGUGAUAUUACAAGAUGAUCGGUGUUUUCGUGUGUUCCAUGAACGCGAUAAUUAGAGAGCCGGUCGUGAUUUCGAAUAACAGUUGCGUUUAACUAGGUUAAUCGCCGUUUAAGUGAAUCGAAAGAUUUUUAUUUUUAUCUAUUCGAGAUUAGAAAAGAAUAAAAGAAUUAAGAGCCAAUCGUAUCGUAAAAUAUUCAACACAACGAACGUUGCAAAGUUCUGCGUGCUAAUCUAUGAUUUUCAUAGAUCAAGAAAUCGAGUAACAAAAAGAAAAAGGAAAAAGAAAGUGUAAAACGAAUUUUAUAAGCGAACGAUAAGGAUUAAUUGUACCGUGAACGAGGUGUUCCUUCGAAAGGGGUUAAUUAAACGAAGGUGAAAAUCCUUUGUCCGAUUGAUAAAAGGAUUGCUGACCGAGGUCAGAUUAAUACGACCCCUUGGACGCGUUCGCGUUUAGAUUCAUCAUUCGAUGGCGACAAUAGCGAGUACGCGGGUUCCUCGGGAGGAGGAAUGGGGGAGAGGAAGACAGAAAGGAAACGGACGAAACGAAAUGACAUAAUAAGACUCGUGGCAACGGCGCUAAUGAUUAUAAAUGGGCGAGGGCCUGCGUGUAUUUGCGGCGACCAAAAGGACAAGGCGGACGGAUGAUCGAUCGCUUCCCCCGAUUCCGCUUGAUUUCGAUUUAGGAAACAUCGGUCGCGCGGCCGAAUUCUUGGCCAACUUUCGAUCGAACAUCCCGAUUCUAUAUUUUAGUACAUAACCUGUAAGAUCGUGGCGCGAAUGAAUUCCAUAACAUUUGGAUUUUUCAAACUAAAUUCGAUAUGAAAAAUUAAGCGGUCAUCAUAAGAUUAGGAAAGUAAACGAAAAGUUUCAUCGAAGGAUUAUAAUUAGAUUUUGUGGUAAAAGUAGAUAUCAACGAUCAAAAUGACUCGAGAGUCGGAAAUGUACACAUUGAAAAAACAUGUCAAAACGAUGCACAUCCCGAAAGAUUUGCAUAUAAAUAAAAGUUGGCAGUUUUUAAGAAAAGACACCGCCGAUCAUAUCGGCGGGCCGGGAUACACUGCUAUUCCAUACUUCUUCGAUGCGAAGGCUUAUCAAAUCGGUCAUAUCUUCGUCCAAGAAGCUUCUAAUGUAAAUUUCGAGAAACGAGCUCGAGAAAUCCAUCCCCUCCAGCGAUCCUAUCCUAUAUAAUUUCCUGUUGCAUUAUAGAUACAGUGCUUCUGCGUCGAACCACAAAUGAAAUUGCUCGGUCCAAUUCGAGAUUUCGUUCUGAGCUCGAAGACUAACAAGCGAUGGAUGGAAAAAGAUCUUCCUCUUAUUACGACCACCGGCGAUAACACAAAUUUUCGAGUAAUUUUCUACUCAUUCAGAAAACUAUCGACCCUCUAAAUUAGUAACACAGCUUGCGUUAUGAUUAUAAAAGGUAAUUAUCGAAAAUGAGAAGCACAAGGUACAACUGAGAGCGAACGAAUGCUAUUUUCUGGACAAGGCGCCCGAUUUACAGAUCGUGGGAAAUGUGACCAUAGAUCGCUCGUCUCAUGAAGAAUUUGCAUCGGCGGAUUGGUUCGGUCUGAUUACCGGGGCAGUUAUGGCCACUUCCUCAGACCUGUUCAUUCAGCGAAAUUCAGAUGAGAGGACAUUUUUCAUAGGCGAUAGACACGCCCUCCUCUUUAAAUACGAGAUUUGCAAGAUGGACAGAAAUGGAACCGUGCAGGAGACCACGACCACGGAAAUUGAGUGCAAAUGGCUGCCGAUAAAGGAUGUAGACCUGUUGCCACUCAAUCAAUUGGUGAGUCAAUCGAAAUACAAGAGAUCAUAAAUUUUAUGAGUUGCCGUUUAAUUGGAAUAUAUAAUCCUCUACUCAUUUAUUUGUAAACGAAAAAUUACAAGUGUUCGGAUAAGAAAGAUUAAAAUUAAAUCAAUAAGGUUAAUGGUAACAAAAA